rnacentral:rRNA from 1 species
GUAACACGUGGGAACGUGCCUUUUGGUUCGGAAUAACUCAGGGAAACUUGUGCUAAUACCGAAUGUGCCCUUCGGGGGAAAGAUUUAUCGCCAUUAGAGCGGCCCGCGUCUGAUUAGCUAGUUGGUGAGGUAAAGGCUCACCAAGGCGACGAUCAGUAGCUGGUCUGAGAGGAUGAUCAGCCACAUUGGGACUGAGACACGGCCCAAACUCCUACGGGAGGCAGCAGUGGGGAAUCUUGCGCAAUGGGCGAAAGCCUGACGCAGCCAUGCCGCGUGAAUGAUGAAGGUCUUAGGAUUGUAAAAUUCUUUCAGUAGGGACGAUAAUGACGGUACCUACAGAAGAAGCCCCGGCUAACUUCGUGCCAGCAGCCGCGGUAAUACGAAGGGGGCUAGCGUUGCUCGGAAUUACUGGGCGUAAAGGGAGCGUAGGCGGACAUUUAAGUCAGGGGUGAAAUCCCGGGGCUCAACCUCGGAAUUGCCUUUGAUACUGGGUGUCUUGAGUAUGAGAGAGGUAUGUGGAACUCCGAGUGUAGAGGUGAAAUUCGUAGAUAUUCGGAAGAACACCAGUGGCGAAGGCGACAUACUGGCUCAUUACUGACGCUGAGGCU